rnacentral:lncRNA from 1 species
AAGAACGGCGUUGCUGCGGAGAGCGGCGAGGCGGGUCAAACGGAGAAGUCUCGCUCCGUACCCAGGGACAGGGAGAUAGUACGAUUGUUUAUCGAACAGGUUAUUCAGUUGCCUCUGUCGUUCUUCUAUUGAGAUAUCGCCAAGGUCGGCGAAAACAUCCAGUAUGGUGGUAUCAGACGCCGAUGCUGCUGCUGCUGCUGCUGGGUUGGAGAUGCUGUGUCCAUUGUUUCCGAGAUGUUUUCGUCGCAGAGAAGAUUCAAGUCCGAUUCGUUCACCAUUGACAAUCGAUUUGGUUGCACAGGCUGUGGUGUUUAUAAGUGAAAAAACCAAAUGAAAUUAGAAAGUUGAAAAUAAAAAUUAAUUAAUACGGCGGCGUGGAGAAUGAGGGAGGGUCGGGAGUACCAGUAAAUCAGUAUAUCGACCAAACCAGUAUCAAUGGAUUUGGAUCUUCCUUAACCCUAAAAAAGAUAUAUUUAACCGUCUUUUACUGACGGUUAUUUCGCGGCUAUUUCAUUCCAACCGGAUUCCAACCGAUGCCACUCUUAUAUUACUAUUUCUUUCAUUCUUUUUUCAAUAAUCAGGGUUCAGUUCAGUUCUUCUAUACUCUCUAUUAAUUUUAACCCUGGUUAAAUUAAUUAACCCAGGUUACUGCAACUUACAACAAUGGGGAUCAUUGAUCUAAUUAUGCACCAAAUAGACAAACUCUAAAUAACUUACACUUUUCAUAUCUUCAUCCAUUUUUUUCUCACUUAAAUUUGGUUGUCAAAAAUAAAACAUAAACCCUAAACAUUAAUAAAUAUUUAACUAUGAAGGUCGCGUAUGUUUUCGAAGUUUUUCAUUUAUAAACUGAUUAGAACAUGUUUGGCAUGCGUCGUCCGAUAUACCAAGGUUUAUGUAAGUAUUUUUUGUCGACUUGCACGUGUGUUUUUUUAAAAAAAACAUAAACCCUAAUUAACUAACUAAGUAGACGGUAUAAUGUGGUAUUUUAGUACCCAAACCCUAAUUCUAUAGACUAUAUAUAUAUAUAUCGAGUGCGACUUGAUUGUUUUGGAAGGUUUUCAACUUAUGAUCGAUAAAAUGAGUUAAAUUUUAUAUAUAUAUAUUAUCUUUAAAAAUAUAUUAUUGAUCUUUAAAUAAUAUAUAAUAUUUGAAGGUAUUUAUCUCAUGUAUUUUUUAAUAUAAAUUUACACCUUAAUCAAAAAAUUAUAAUUAUUUUGGAUUAUAAAUAAUAUAGGAUGAGUAGGGUCGUCAGAAUGUCACGAAUCGCCAAAUUGGUUCUGAAAUAUAUAUUCAACCUCGUCGGUUCUGAAAUCGCAAAAUCAUCAUUUUAUAUAAUUCAUUAUUAUUUUUUAAUUUUUACAUUAAUUAUAUUAUUAUUUUAAGAUUUUAAGAUUUUUUUUUUAAUUUUUAUGUUUUAUAUUAUAAUUUUAUUUCAUUAUAAUAAAAUUUUAACAUUAGAUACCUUAAAAUUUAACGAAAAUUCUGUUAACUUAGAUUAUAAGUGUUUUUACUGGAAAUUACAUUUACUUUAUUUCGCUUAAACUGUCUACUUUUUUUUUGUAGUAUACGGACUAUAUCAUAAAAUUUAUAUAUUUAAUUAUAUAUAUAGCAUAAAAAUAGAACAUAUUAUAAAAAUUAUAUUUUAUUGAUUUAAAUAUAUAUGCAUAAUAGUGUAAUUAGGUAUUGACAUGAUUCGUGUUACUCCUGACCCAAUCUGAAUUUUAAAUAUUCAGGCAAUUCAAACACUAAACCUAAUCCUUUUGGUUUAAUUCAAAAAAAAUGAAAUUAAAGUCGGUUUUUUGACACAUCAAAUCAGUCGGUUUUUUGAAAACUUUUGAAAUUUUAUAUUACAAAUUUUAUAGGUGUAAUUUAAUUAAAGUUAGAGGGUUAUUUUCGAAAAAAUUAAUUUUUUUACACGGAUUUAAGAUUAAACCAAAAAUCAAGAGGGAACAACAACCAAAUGGACCAAGAAACCCUUUUUGAGAGAAUCGGAUGUACCGACGAAUUAACAUACAAAAUUCUAAGUAAUCAAGAACAUCUUCAUAUGGGAGCUCAAUCUCAUCAAGAACAUCUUCAUAUGGGACACAAUGACUUGCUAUUGCAUCCAAAAGACGAUUUGAAAAAUGCAUACCACGAACACUUCCGAAUGAGAAGUGUACAUCCUUUUCGUGUUUUACAAUUUUGAACGCUGCAAAAAAAUGAAAAGCAAAAAAAAAAAAAAAAUUACAAUAUAACUCAUGAGCAAUUUAUCUAAUUCUGAUCAACAAAUCCAACACUGUACACAAGCCAAAGGCAACCAAAAACUCAAAAUCAAGAAAAAGAGAACACUGAUUUGACACCCACAAACAAGAUCAUCAAUUCGAAUAUAUCUAAAAACAAAACGGAAGCAAAAAAAAUCAACCAAAUUAGUAUUAUUAUUAUUAUUCCCAAUAUUAUUAUUCCCAAUAUUAUUAUUCCCUCAUUUUUUAAUUCCAUCCAAUAUUAUUCCCCAAUAUUAUUUUCCCUCAUCUCGUUCCCCCACUCUCAUUUCCUCCAAUCUCGUUUCCCCCCCCCCAUUUCAUUUUCCCCAAUCUCAUUUNNNNNNNNNNNNNNNNNNNNNNNNNNNNNNNNNNNNNNNNNNNNNNNNNNNNNNNNNNNNNNNNNNNNNNNNNNNNNNNNNNNNNNNNNNNNNNNNNNNNACUUCUGUCAUCAUCGAAGUGAACUUAAUCGUGUAAUCCCUCAGAGACAGUUUGUUCUGUCGUAAUGCGAGCAGUGCGUUGGCACUGUGUUUUAUUCUGAUCAUCCCCACAUGUUGGGCGAUGAACUUCGAAGAGAGGUCCGCGAAGCUGGAGACCGAGCCAGCUGGCAGACCAGAGAACUACCGAUAGGCGUUGCCUUUGAGAGUACCGUGCGAUUUACCUUUCGUGAAGCCCUUCCUUUCCUCAAAUUUGUCCUUGGUAAAUCUGGCCGAAGCGGCAGAUUUUACCAUGCUUAAAUUUUUUGACGACUUCUGGCCGAAGCGACAGAAGUAUCGGGAGAGCUUGUGAUACUCUCCGAAAAUAGACGACUUCUGGCCGAAGCGACAGAAGUGUCGGGAGAGCUUGUGAUACUUCCCCCUGACAUUUGACGACUUCUGGCCGAAGCGACAGAAGUGUUGGGAGAGUUUGUGAUACUCUUCCCUUGAAAUUUGACGACUUCUGGCCGAAGCGAAAGAAGUGCCGGGAGAGUUUGUGAUACCCCCCCCUGAAAACUUGCACUUGGGGCAGUUUUAGUGUUAUUUUACCCGGAAUCGGCGACUGGAGCUUGUGAUACUCUUGCAGUCGGCGAUACCUAUGGUCUGGGUGACUGUAAGGGGUAUUUUUGUUUUUUACCCCUGUGAGUCGGCGACUCCUAGUGUAACCGUCGGAUCUUUUUGGGAGAUCCUUGGGAUAUUUGGAAGAUAUACGGGGAAUAUUUGUAAAAUCUCCAAAUAAGGAAAUUUUUCUCACAGUGCUGUGAGUUUUUGCUCGGAGUCGGCGAAUGCCCUGUGGAGUCGGCGACUUUGGCGUGAUUCGGGGGAUUUGGAGAUCGAUUCUUGAUCUCAAAAUUUGUAAAUUUUGGGUUUUCUGGGGGGUUUUUGCAAUUUUCCCAAGGGCUAUAAAUAGUGGAGAGGUUUUCCCCAAAUCCUCACAACACCUUUGCCACUUCUAAAUCGCCUAAACCCUCAGAUUUUUGAAUCGCUGAUUUCUCAGUUUUAAACCUUCGAAUCGUCGAUUCCCCCAAUGUCUACCCCCGAUUCCCCUUUGUCAUUAUUGAAAGAAGCCAAAACGUCGGCCUUCAUAGAUGAGCUGACUGUUGAUGACUUAGACGAGGUGUUGAACACCGUCGAGUCGCCGAUUCUCUCUCCUGACAGAGAGGUUGAGUCGGCGAUUCCGGUCGUGCCACCUCGUAGUAUGGAGCUGAGUGCCACCGUGCACGAACUGCUUGGCGCCUUGCCAGUGUCGGAGACUCCCCUUGUGGAGUCGGCGAUUCAGUGCAAGGCCCUUGUGGUCGUGCGGGAGCUUCUUGAGCUGGGGGAGAUUCCCGAGGCCUCUGUGUCGGCGAUUCCCAUCGUGGAGUCGGCGACACAUGCAGGUCCUGUCAAGGGGAAAUCCUUCAAGCAAAGGGGACAGGGCUCAGCUGCCAUUGGGUCGGCGACUGCUGGCCGUGACUCGCCGAUUCUUCUCAUUGAAUCAGCGACUUAUGUGCUGGAGACGGCGACUCCCAUGCUUAUUGAUGAUUCUUCCGCACGUCGCACCGCUCCGUUGAUUGUGAACGCGGAAGGCCAUAUUGUGUCGGGACUGAACCCGAACCAAGGUCCUUCUCUGAAGAGAAAGAGAAGGCACACCACUGGGAAGGGCAAAGUACAUGUGCCCGAAGAGAACGAAGGAGUCCCUCCUCCUCUAAACAUUAACUUUGAGGAGACCUUGACUGUGGACCGUGGUGCUCCUAAUCCACGCCGUAGAGCGGGCCGGCGCUCUGAAAGAACUCCGCCACCUCCUGUAGAUCUGGAUGCUAGUCGAGACCCGGACCUCGACUUAUGUACUUACAUUGGAGCUUUGAACCCAUCUGGGUUCGCUCACUGCGAAAUCUCCGUGAAUGGCGUGCCAAGGUUGCUUCCAAUAGGCCGUUCUAGGGACGGCGAAUUUGAACAAGUUAUGACUCACGCAACCUUGGACGGGUCUGAUGGAGUCAAUCCCCCCUCGAGCCUGAAUGCGAGCGACGCUCGAUCACUACUAUCGGGGAUUCAACUAUCUGGUCAUCUGCGAUUCUGGAUGUCGUGAUACCAGCCAAUUAAUCUGCCACCCUCGNNNNNNNNNNNNNNNNNNNNNNNNNNNNNNNNNNNNNNNNNNNNNNNNNNNNNNNNNNNNNNNNNNNNNNNNNNNNNNNNNNNNNNNNNNNNNNNNNNNNNNNNNNNNNNNNNNNNNNNNNNNNNNNNNNNNNNNNNCUGAACAUUGCUGCGACGGCGAGCUUGUUUCUGUACUUCUACAAGCUCACCAAAGAGAAGUCUGCAUCUGGUCGCUUCGGAUUCACGCGACGACACUUUGAUAAGAAUAUCGUCGAUGAGUUGCCGACGAACUUUGGAUGCAACUGGAGAAGGGAAUUUAUCUUCAUCACUUCUGAAUUUCUUCCCGGGAGUCGGGAAAUAUGGAAUGAUCCAAAUCGAGUGCACAUGAAUGCCUCGAUCGAGCUGAGCACGAGGGAUAUUGAGGCCUCGAAUCGAAUAGCGCGGACACUCACUGCAUAUUCUGUGCCGCGUGGUGUUCCCUUUGUCCUUUGCCAAAGGGAAGACUUCACAUUUGAGGACGUGGAAGUGGCUCAUGAACCACCCACUGAGAAAGAGUUGGAACACUACAAGAAAAAGGCUUUUUUCUGACCAACCAAGUUGGUCGCAAAAAGACAUAAGUUGGUCGCUUAUAGAAAAAAAGCGACCAAAAAGUUGGUCGCAAUGUUAGUCGCAAGAAACCCCGUCGCUAGUGACUAUAAGCGACCAACUUUUUGAGUUGGUCGCUUGAAAGCGACCAAUUUGGUUGGUCGCUCAAUAAAUCUAAAUCUGACCAAAUUUUUGGUGUCAAUAUAUGGGUGAGUUAGUCGCAAAAAAUUGGCGCCAACAUAAGGGCGACCAACUUGGUUGGUCCAAAAAUUUGGCGCCAACAUAAGGACGACCAACUUGGCUGGUCCCAAAAAUUUGACAUCAACAUAAAGGCGACCAACUUGGUUGGUCUCAAAAAAUUGGCAUCAACAUAAGGGCGACCAACUUGGUUGGUCUCAAAAAAUUGGCGUCAUAAUAAAAGUGACUAACUUGGUUGGUCGUUAAAAUUUGGCACCAACAAAUGGGCGACCAACUUGGUUGGUCACAUACAUUUCCUCCAAUAUAAGAGCGACCAACAUGAUUGGUCACAAAAAUUUGACGCAAAAUUAUAGGCGACCACCUGGUUGGUCGCUUUUGCUAGUAUUUUAUAUUUUUAAGACCAACUAAGUUGGUCGCAAAAUUUUGGAUGAACUACACUUAGCGACAAACUAGUUGGUCGCAAAUUUUUAAGGCGAAAAAAAAAAUUUGUUUUGCAUGGGUGUCCAUUAGGACCUUACAAAAACUCAUUCAUAUAACCUGUUACAAUAAAAAUAUAUAAUAUACAUUUAUCCAAAUAUAUAUUAAAUCAAUCAUCCAAAAAUAUAUUUAAUCAUUCGUCCAAAAAUAUAUUCAACAAUUCAUCUAAAAAUAUAUUCAAUCAUUCAUCCAAAAAUAUAUACAACCAUUCAUCCAAAUAUAUAUUAACCAUUCAUUUAAAAAUAUAUCCACCCAUUUGUUGAUUAUUCGACAAUACAAUCAUUUAUCUUUAGUUUAACUUUAAUUUUUGUUUACUAUUCAAAAGUUACUUAAAGUAACCUAUCUUUCAAUUUUUUCUCCAUGUUCUUAUCUUUCUCCUUCUCUUUUUCCUUAUAUUUGUUUUUCUGUUGCAAAUAUGUUUCAAUUGAAACGUUUGGAAAUCCUGUCAUUUUAAAAUAGAAAAAUAUUAUAAGUAUAUAAAAUAUAAAAAUCAAAUAGAUUAUAAAUUUUUACUUACUGAAUUUGUGGAGUGCUUUCGACGUUUGAGUUAAAGGUCUGGAUCUUUUCGCGUGAAAACAAUAGAACAUUUUGAGAUGACUAAAUAAAAAAAAUAUUUAAUAAAUGAUAUGAAAUUAAAAUUGAAAAAAAUAAUUUGAUUCAAAUAUUGUAGUUCCGUUACGAACAGCUUUCUAUUGUUCCAUUGCUUUAGACACAAAGUAGUCCAUACAAGCAGCAGCAUCCUGUGUGCGAAGAUCUUCAGCACCAAGCUUAGCUUGGAGAAUUUGUAAAGUUGUUUGUUCAUGUUGAACUCUGAGAGAAUAUGCUUCUAUUAACGAGAGAGCAAUAGCAAUAGCAAUAGCAUGGUAACUGGCCGCUGUGAUACAUGCAUGCACAUUAAAUUGGGUUAGAUUGAUGACAAAAAUGGAUAGAGAAAGAUGGAGAAGGAAAGGGACAAAAACCAGUAUGUGAUCAGCUCCAAGAAGUCUCUGGUUGCACUUGAGAGCUUCUUGUAGAUAUCUAAGAGCAGCAACAUGUUCCUAAUCCUUCUUCUAUCAUAGCUACAUUGAUGUACGUGUUCGGAUGUGAAGGGCCACAAGUUAAGUGAAGAAGAUAUAAUGCUCGGUUGACAUAUCUAAAAAACCAUUGCAAAAAUAUUGAAUUUUAGUUUGAAAUUUUAACAAAUCAAAUUGCUCAAUUGAAAACAAAAAAGAAUAUCACAUCUCUGCACUUACUUCAAAGCCAAUUCAGUUUGUUGAAGGCGGUAGUAGAAGACAGCUAAAUCUCCAUAGCUUUUUACGGUAUCAGGGUGAUCAAGACCUAGUUCUCUCUCAUUGAUGUUUAAAGUCUUUUGUUGGUAAAUGAUUGCCUUAUAUAGAAAAUAAGAAAUUACCAAUCUGGUAUGAAUUCAUAUAUAAAAGAAUGUUUGUGUCGCCCAGCGUAACCAACCUGGUUUAAAUCACCAGUAUGGUAGAGCACAAUUGCUAAAAGACUGUAAGCCCCAACCAUCAUUCGAUGGUAAGGCCCGCACACAGCUAUAAGUUUUGCAAGUGCCUGCAAAGUUCAAGGCUUAUCAUUUACAAAGUGUAAAAUAAAACUAAACUGGAAAUAUAACGAUGAACCUUGUCCCAUAGUUAACAGAAUCUUCAAGUUUUCCUUUGUCCAAAAAAGUCUUGGAGGAUUCCAAAAGUGUGCGACCAUCAGCGGAUGAGCAUGCAACAUGCUGCAGGAAUAAAUAGUACAUAAUACAAUGAUUAAUAAUGUUCCAAAAUAAUAAAUAUUUGGGUUUUAUAUAAGGUGCUAAGAAAUCCUACUUUAUAUACAGGUAUCAAGCUGAUAAUAUCUGAUCAAUCCAAAUCAUUGUCCCUUGGAACAAGCUCAAGUCCCACCUGCACAUGAUAAAAUUUGGAAAAUUCAAACAAAAUUCCAAUAUAAUUUAACUUUGAUAUAUACUGGCAAUACCUUGUGGCAAACGUACACUACGAAGGAUGGAAAAUUUUCUUAAAUUCUGGCAACAUUCCUCAUUCCAUCUCCAUCCAAAUCUUUUAAAAAUAAAUGUCUCGAUCCACUUUUGUUUUAGCUUCGAAUCUUCUUCCACUGUGGAUGUUCCUAGCAAAAAGUUCAAGCAAGUGGCUAUUGAUCGGGCAAAAUCCUCCACAACAUUAACGGAUGCAAUAACUGCUUGAAGUAUAUGCUUAUAUGCACGAGCUAUCAUCUCAUGAAUACAAAGUGACUGAGCAUGAGGGAGUUUGUCUGAAAGCUCAACCUGAAGUUUUGAUUGAAUCAAACACGGUCAUUAAUAACAUUGUUGAUCAUGGUAAUGACAAACAAUGUGGAUGAUGUUCACUAGUUAAAAUUUAUACCACGUGACCCAAAUAACACAUUUGAAGAUAUCGAGUGUGCAUGAAAUCUGUCAGUGUUCUAACAUCAACUGGAGAGAGUUCAAGAAAACCAAAAUCUGCCACCUGAUAAUAGAAGUUAUGUGAAAUGACAUUGAAACUUCAUUAGAUUACUAGAAACGGUUAAUCCUAGAAAAACAUUUGUAUGCCAUGAAAAAAUAAAUACCAGUUUGGUGCAUAAUAUGCAUGUGCCAUUUCAAUCAGCUCAUUGGGAAUCUGAAAAAAAUCAUGAAUAAAUAUACUACAUAGAUUAUUAAAUAUUUCAAAGAAUUUAAAGAUGAUAAAAAAAAUCUACACCUUGAUGUGGGAGUCGUGACCAAAAGCGUGAUAGAUGAUUGAAUCACGAGGAUAAUGCGUCGUCCAUAAGACGAUCCCAUGGGUGCUGGGAAGACCAAUGUAUUAAUUACAGGGAAAUACUUCCAUACAUGAGAAUUGAAUGCUAUUUAUUGUCUGAAUAAGUUAUUAUCAAGCUUUCCUAUGUGACCGCUUAAUCGCGACAAGGGUUAUUAGCAAGCAAAAAGCAACACGCAUCAUUCUGAUUAAGCUAGUAUAUGUGUGUAUACGAAAAUGCCAAUCGCAUACACACAUAGGAAACCUUGAAUAACAUCACUUAUUAGAUGUACUUAAAGUUUCAAAAUUCAAACUGUAUGAAAGUUGAACUAAAAUGAUGAAUGAAUUUAGAUUGCGUGAUGAAACAGUUAAAUUCUGCAUAAACAAUUGGAAUUGGUAAAUAUCAUAAUUUUUUAAAGUGGAAUUAGAAUUCGUUGAUAUUGUAAAUUUAAAUAGAUUUUUGAAAAAAAUACAUGAGUUUUCACUUGUCAGUUGUGAUUUUUUAAAAUUAAGUGUUAUUUUAAAUUCAAUGACUACCAAUGAUUCAUUGAAACACUGCAAAAUGACUUAGAAACAAUCAAAGGCUCAAAGUCUAUGUGUUGGUAUCGUUUUUAUACUGGAAUCUUAUAAAAAACGAAAAUUAUUGAGACCAAUGCACCUGUUGCUUGAGACUCUAGGACUUUGAGACAUCAACGUGUAGCUAUAUAAUGCUGCAGACAGAGCCAUAGAAGGACUUAGACGAUGAGCAUGAUACAAAUAAAACCAUUUAUCUACGUACACUUCAAUUUUUCAGUGAAUUAAAAAAAGUACCAGAACGAGGAUCUGGGGGGCUUGGUUAGUGAGACUAACUCCGAUGCUCCUCCGACGGUUUGACCCUCAUGCUCCGUGCAUUUGAUGGCCACCAUAGCUAUAUCGAGAGGGACGUAGUCGAGGAAACGGACGUCGAGGAUGGAUCGGAGGAGGAGAUCAUAUGUCUUUGCUAUGAAGUCCGUUGUGGCGUCUUUAUGGAGCAGCAGAUGGACGUAGGAAUGCGCAGUUACGGCCUGAACAUGCCAAUCUAAGCCAUGGAGCACGAGAAACUCCAUUCUCUGGAUGGUUAAGUUGUCGUAGUCAUUGAUGGGUAGUUGAAGGGAGUCGAUAUCGGGAACUUCAGUUUCGGUGAACUUGGUCGAUAUCGUGAUGCAACAAACCGCCGCCAACUCCAUCAUCCAGUCUUCCCACACCUUCUCGACAAACCGAGACACGAACACGUCGAGCAAGUUGACGGAAGUGAAAACCGUCGACGGACAUAGAUUCAGAUUCGCACACGUCUGUCCGACCAAACAAACACGAUAAAAACGACAAAAAACCAAUCGAAAAGAGGAUCAAAGAUCAAUCAAUCAAUCAAUAAAUAAAUAAAUACAUAUAGAUUUACAGAUCGAUAAACAACCCACCAUUACGAUCCAAAGAACGGCGUUGCUGCGGUGAGCGGCGAGGCGGGUCAAACGGAGAAGUCUCGCUCCGUACCCAGGGACAGGAAGAUAGUACGAUUGUUUAUCGAACAGGUUAUUCAGUUGCCUCUGUCGUUCUUCUAUUGAGAUAUCGCCAAGGUCGGCGAAAACAUCCAGUAUGGUGGUAUCAGACGCCGACUCCGGCUGUUGCUGC